CCAAAUUGCACCCUAAGGAAAAAUGUCGGAGAGUUCGACAGAUUCAAAUUGCAGUCAUCGUUACUGCGAGUGUGGGUCAGAAAUCAAACGUCGGACUUCACGGAUGGAUCUGAAUCCUGGAAGAAGAUUUGAGGCAUGUUGCAAUAAUUGGAACACUAAAAGGGGGUUGCAUUUUUUUUGAAUGGAUGGAGAAUGAAACAUGCCCACGAGGAAAGGAAAUCUUGCAUGGGUUACUUAGAAGACUAAGACGAAUUGAGAGCAACGGCGGAGAACUUCAGAUUGAUGGAAGAAGAAAGGAAUAAAUUAGAGCAAAAACUGAGAGAAGUGGAAGAAGAAAUCAAGAUUUUGGAAAAACAAAUUCUAGGAAUGGGUAAACAAGUUGUUGUACUAGAAGGGGAAAUUUUGAGUUAUCGACAAAGACAAAGAUGGUUGUGGGUUGUUGUUCUGUUGUGUUUUAUGUUUGUAAUAUUGGUCAUCAAUAUGGAUGAAUUGGUAGUGUGGAAA